AAGUAAAAGGACAUCAGCCUCUGAUGUUUGUGGAUUGAUUCUCCUAACACCGUGGACCUGAAAAAGGACAAAAGAUUCCCUUGGUUUGUGAAGAAGCUCUUAAGCUGGCAGUACAUGAAGUUGUUUUGUGGCCCUCUUUAUUUGGGUGCUAAUUGUGUUGGACUCUUUGCAGGUUCACCCCAGGAAGGGGAAAUUCCUCGCAGCUAAAGCCCAGGAGCUGGGGCUGCCAGUGGGAACUCCAGCCAUCCUUCCCAUCAUUACAGCCCUCAAAAAUGGGGAGAGCAUCACUUUUGAAGGCAAAGAGCUGCUGUGACAGGGCCACCAGCAGGGCCCUGAGGGGCCUCCAGCACAGGGAGGACGUGGAGCUGCUGGAGCCAGUCCAGAGGAGGCCACCAAGAUGAUCAGAGGGAUGGACAUUGUUGGGGAAGAUGAAACAUGAAAGCCUUAUAAAUAUGAUUGCCUGGCAAAAGAUUUUGAGAAUAUGGAAGCUAUAAGCGAGAUUGAAAUGAAAGCAAGCUUUGAGACACCAAACCUUGGUCACUGAACAACUGGAAAACAAUGGCAUGGCCGGCUGAAGGUAAUCCCCUCCUGAUGAAACAACACCCUCUGCUUGCAGACAGCUCCGAGGCUCAGAGCAGACCCUGCCAGCUUGGCAGAAGGGGUCCAAAGAGUCGUUUUUAGGGUUGAAAAUGUAAC